UUCAGUUAUUGAUUAUUGUAGUUCUAAUCCUUGUCACGGACAUGGUGACUGUUAUAAUGGAGCAGGAGGACACCUUUGUCAGUGUCAUUCAGGAUAUUCUGGAAUUAAUUGCCAAACAGCAGCAACAAAACAGCCUAUCGUAGGAUCAGGUC